UACAGAGGGUGCAAGCGUUGUUCGGAUUCAUUGGGCGUAAAGGGUGCGUAGGUGGCAUGGUAAGUCGGAUGUGAAAUCCCGGGGCUCAACCCCGGAACUGCAUUCGAUACUGCUGCGCUAGAGUACUGGAGAGGAGAUUGGAAUUUACGGUGUAGCAGUGAAAUGCGUAGAUAUCGUAAGGAAGACCAGUGGCGAAGGCGGAUCUCUGGACAGUUACUGACACUGAGGCACGAAGGCCAGGGGAGCAAACGGG
rnacentral:rRNA from 1 species